rnacentral:rRNA from 1 species
CCUGGAGGAAGGUGGGGAUGACGUCAAAUCAUCAUGCCCCUUAUGCUUAGGGCUACACACGUGCUACAAUGGGUAGUACAGAGGGUUGCCAAGCCGUAAGGUGGAGCUAAUCCCUUAAAGCUACUCUCAGUUCGGAUUGUAGGCUGAAACUCGCCUACAUGAAGCUGGAGUUACUAGUAAUCGCAGAUCAGAAUGCUGCGGUGAAUGCGUUCCCGGGUCUUGUACACACCGCCCGUCACACCACGGGAGUUGGAG